rnacentral:misc_RNA from 1 species
AAGUCGUAACAAGGUUUCCGUAGGUGAACCUGCGGAAGGAUCAUUAACACGUAUCCAACGUUAAAACCCCCCGUGAACCUUUAUUGUGGCACGCCUAUCUGGUAAAUCAUCGCCGAACAGUUUUGAUUCAGGGACUUCUGCGUGGGUAGGACAACUGCGCGAGCAAGUGGCCUGGCAUCCCUCUGCUUGUUAGUGUCUGAAAGUGUCACUAGCUCUGUACGGGUGGCGCAAUCACGAUCGCUAGAGGCCAACACGGCCGGCGACCGGGUCAAUGGGCCCUCGGCCCCCUAAUCACCUUUGCAUGAAAACGGGCCUGCGCUUAAUUGUGCGGCCACCAAACUCGAACAACUGUUAACAAUGGAUAUCUUGGUUCUC